GAUCCUGGCUCAGGACGAACGCUGGCGGUGUGCCUCACACAUGCAAGUCGAGCGGAUGUUUAUUAGAAGCUUGCUUUUGAUAAACGUUAGCGGCGGACGGGUGAGUAAUACGUAGGAAUCUGCCUCAAGGAGGGGGACAACGGGUCGAAAGAUCCGCUAAUACCCCAUAUGCGAGCAAUCGUGAAAGGAGUAAUCCACCUAGAGAUGAGCCUGCGUCCGAUUAGCUAGUUGGCGGGGUAAAAGCCCACCAAGGCGACGAUCGGUAGUUGGUCUGAGAGGAUGAUCAGCCACAAUGGGACUGAGACACGGCCCAUACUCCUACGGGAGGCAGCAGUGGGGAAUUUUACGCAAUGGGGGAAACCCUGACGUAGCGACACCGCGUGAGCGAAGAAGCCUUUUGGGGUGUAAAGCUCUGUCAGCUGGAACGAACACAAUGACGGUACCAGCAGAGGAAGCAUCGGCUAACUACGUGCCAGCAGCCGCGGUAAUACGUAGGGUGCGAGCGUUAAUCGGAAUUACUGGGCGUAAAGCGUGCGCAGGCGGUCUUGUAAGACAGUCGUGAAAUCCCUGGGCUUAACCUAGGAACUGCGAUUGUGACUGCAAGGCUAGAGUGUGUCAGAGGGGGGUGGAAUUCCACGUGUAGCAGUGAAAUGCGUAGAGAUGUGGAGGAACACCGAUGGCGAAGGCAGCCCCCUGGGAUAACACU
rnacentral:rRNA from 1 species